GACGAACGCUGGCGGCGUGCCUAAUACAUGCAAGUCGAACGCAGUGGGGAAGGGGGAGUAACACGUGGGUCACCUCCCCAUCAGAGGGGAUAACACUUGGAAACUGGUGCUAAACCGAUACUGUUGGCUGGACUAGCGGUGCAUUAGCUAGUCGGUGAACGAACGGCUCACCAAGGCAACGAUGCAUAGACGGCCUGAGAGGGGGAUAGGCCACACUGGGACUGAUGAACGGUCCAGACUCAUACGGGAGGCAGCAGUAGGGAAUCUUCGGAAAUGGACGAAAGUCUGACCGAGCAACGACGCGUGAGUGAUGAAGGUUUUAGGAUCGUAAAACUCUGUUGUUAGAGAAGCGGUAUCUAACCAGAAAGCCACGGCUAACUACGUGCCAGCAGCCGCGGUAAUUC
rnacentral:rRNA from 1 species